GUGGGUGUAGCUCAGUGGUAGAGCGCCGGAUUGUGGCUCCGGUUGUCGCGGGUUCAAUUCCCGUCACUCACCCCA
rnacentral:tRNA from 1 species